rnacentral:rRNA from 1 species
UAAUACGUAGGUGGCAAGCGUUGUCCGGAUUUAUUGGGUUUAAAGGGUGCGUAGGCGGCCAUUUAAGUCAGUGCUGAAAUACUCUAGCUUAACUAGAGGGGUGGCAUUGAUACUGAACGGCUUGAGUGAAGUCGAGGUAGGCGGAAUUGACGGUGUAGCGGUGAAAUGCUUAGAUAUCGUCAAGAACACCGAUAGUGAAGACAGCUUACUAGACUUCAACUGACGCUGAGGCACGAAAGUGUGGGGAUCAAACAGGAUUAGAUACCCUGGUAGUCCACACUGUAAACGUUGAUUACUCGAUGUGUGCGAUAUACAGUACGCGUCUUAGCGCAAGCGAUAAGUAAUCCACCUGGGGAGUACGCCGGCAACGGUG